rnacentral:tRNA from 1 species
CCUCCUUACUAUAUACGAUACUGGUGACCUUGUAUUAAGCAGUGCUUACACAAAUUGUUUUGUUAUACCGAAGAAGAGAACACCAUCGAGUGCUUGGCACGACGAUAGGCUUGUAGCUCAGCUGGUUAGAGCGCACCCCUGAUAAGGGUGAGGUCGGCAGUUCAAGUCUGCCCAAGCCUACCACUAUUUUAGUGGAGUAAAACGAUGGGGCUAUAGCUCAGCUGGGAGAGCGCCUGCCUUGCACGCAGGAGGUCAGCAGUUCGAUCCUGCUUAGCUCCACCAAAUUCUAAUCCAUGACAUCUGAACGUUAUCCUCAGUGAUAGCGCAGUUAUUAUGCAUUAGCGUUUGCUAAAACUUGUUCUUUAACAAUAUGGAAAGCUGAUAAAAAAGUAAUCAAAACUGAGAAGAGUAUUUCAAGUACUUUACUCUAUCUGAUAACUGGCGAAAAAAAAUUAGCGAAGUCAUUGACCGCA